rnacentral:tRNA from 1 species
UGGGAUAUAGCCAAACUGGUAAGGCAGUGGACUCUGACUCCAUAAUUUUCCGGUUCGAGCCCGGAUAUCCCAA